rnacentral:misc_RNA from 1 species
UUGGAUUAUGGCUGCUUGCCGGCUCUUUAAGUAGAGUCAGCUCGGCUGAAAUACAUGAGCAGCGCUCCUUUAAACUAAGGCGGCUCGACUCGGCGUAAUAGCUUUAUUCGCUGAGGACGCUUGUUUAAUAACAGUUGCUUCUAAAUCAAUUACUUUAAGCUUUAGACCUCAAAUCAGUCAGGAUUACCCGCUGAACUUAA